AGAAGGAUGCAAAUGUUCAAAUAGAGAUGACCAGUUCAAUAAAGCAUGGGGAGACUAAUGCAUCUUCCAUUGGUUUCGAUAUGCAGACUGUUGGGAAGGAUUUGGCCUAUACAUUACGUGGUGAGACAACAUUUAUUAAUUUUAGGAAGAACAAGGCAAUUGCUGGUCUGUCAGUUGCCCUAUUAGGCGAUGCCUUGUCUGCUGGAUUCAAAGUUGAAGACAAAUUGAUUGCUAAUAAGCGAUUUCGAUUAGUUGUGACUGGGGGUGCAAUGACCGGUAGGGGAGAUGUAGCUUAUGGUGGCAG
rnacentral:misc_RNA from 1 species